GUUCCAAACCCUAAAACCUUCAUAAAACUCAAAAUUGAAGCUAUAAAUCUGCUCCAAAUCAAGUUCUAAACACGAAUUAGUGAUCACCUCGUCAUAGGGAUCAAAAGGCAAAGAGUCCGGAUCAUCAAGCGGACAAGCCGGCGAGAAUACACGGGGAAAAGGCGUGCUCUAAAGUUUUCAGGUUUUCUUGUAGAAGGAUGAUGAUCAAGCAUAUGUAUCCGAACCGAACACUCUAA